GAAAUGCGAUAAGUAAUGUGAAUUGCAGAAUUCAGUGAAUCAUCGAAUCUUUGAACGCACCUUGCGCUCCUUGGUAUUCCUUGGAGCAUGCCUGUUUGAGUAUCAUGAAAUCUUCAAAGUAAAUCUUUUGUUAACUCAAUUGGUUUCUACUUUGGUAUUGGAGGUCUUUGCAGCUUCACACCUGCUCCUCUUUGUUCAUUAGCUGGAUCUCAGUGUUAUGCUUGGUUCCACUCGGCGUGAUAAGUUAUCUAUCGCUGAGGACACUGUAAAAGGUGGCCAAGGUAAAUGCAGAUGAACCGCUUCUAAUAGUCCAUUGACUUGGACAAUACUUUUAUGAUCUGAUCUCAAAUCAGGUAGGCCUACCCGCUGAACUUAAGC
rnacentral:misc_RNA from 1 species